rnacentral:rRNA from 1 species
GACGAACGCUGGCGGCGUGCCUAAUACAUGCAAGUCGAGCGAACAGAAGGGAGCUUGCUCCCGGAUGUUAGCGG